rnacentral:rRNA from 1 species
UACUGGGGGAGCGAGCGUUGUUCGGAAUCACUGGGCGUAAAGCGUGCGCAGGCGGAUUGGUAAGUUAGAAGUGAAAUCCCAGGGCUCAACCCUGGAACUGCUUUUAAAACUGCCUUUCUAGAGUAUGGUAGAGGUUGGGAGAAUUCCUAGUGUAGAGGUGAAAUUCGUAGAUAUUAGGAGGAAUACCAGUGGCGUAGGCGCCCAACUGGACCAUUACUGACGCUCAGGCACGAAAGCGUGGGGAGCAAAC